rnacentral:lncRNA from 1 species
GGUACGGCGGACCUUGCUUGUAAUAGUACAAUCCAUGAUGCCUUUUUGUCGGUCCAAAUGCUUGCUGUAUUUCCACCAUUGCUGUUUCAAAUAAUCUAACUCAUGCUAUUCCCUAAGCUUUAGGAGGGGGCAAUGUUGUGAUGAGAAAGGCAGAAUCUUUCCAGAAGAAGGGUAUAAUAUCAACUCAUCACCAUCUUCUUCUCUCUUCUUUCUUCUUUUUUUUCUUUUUUAAGGCUUAGAAUUUCCUAAUUCGCGUUCUUAUCUCACUUAUGCCUUUUGUUCUUUGCUAAUUGUCUUCUCCAUCAUUCAUAAAUGCUGACUGCAUCUUUUUUAAGAGUGAGAGCAUACUUUGGCAGUGUGCAGCCAAGGACAAACUCUCAGUGAAGUCCUAUCAAUAUUCCUUCCAUGGAUAAAAGUUUGCACUUUGAUGUUUUAAGGGAAAUUAUGAAUUUGUCAACAUUUUUGAGAGAAAAAAAGAUUUUCUCUUUGUUGAGUAGGCAAGAACCCUUUAGCAGCCUCUAGGAUUUUUUUAAACAAUUUUUUAGUUUAAUUUAUUUUGAGUCUCCCACAUGUUUGUCCUCUCUCUCUCUCUCUCUUUUGGACAGAAAUUUUUGGGAAUCAGCAUGGGUACUUUUCAAGUUAAAGAAAAAGAAGGUAAAGGAUUUGGGGGAUUGAAUAAUUGCUGAUUUUCAAGUUAGUCAUGUGUGAGUGGUUGUUGGAAUUUGGAUUUAGCUUGGGCUGGGAACUAUUUUUCCCUGGUGUGGUAUUUCCUUUCCACUUUUCUAGGACCUCCCAGAGACCAUCUCACUAGUUGGGUGUUAGACUUAUCAUGUUGUAUUUCUGGCCUAGUAUUUUUGUCUAUUAUUCACUAUUUAGUACAACAUCCUUUCAUCUACAAUUUGAAUUUUUUAUCAUGCACUAGUUGGAUCAUCUAGAAGGUAAAUAUCACCAUAUAAUUUGAGAGACUGAGCAUAAGAAAUAUUUCUUGAGGUGCAUCUUGUUUAUGUUAUAAGACCAUCUGUUGUGGAAAAAUAAAUGUUUUAAGACAACCCAUUGUUGAACAAGACAUCUAGGCAGAAAGCGAGCAUGACCAAAGCCAAAUUGUGGGCUAAACAACUAAAAGUAAAAGAACUGUAACACACCAAAAAAGGGACUUGGAUGGUUUAAUGCCAUUGAAGUGCUCUUGUAAUGUACCAAUGCCUCCAUUAUGGGUAUUGGAGCCCAGAUAAUGGAGAAAUUGCCAUUUACUAAUACAUAGAGUUGGGCACUGGGCCGGGCCGCCCACGGCCCGGCACGAAGCGGG